AACGUGGGCAAAUACCUAUUAAGCUGGACUCAUAAUCCUUUGGUCCACGGUUCAAGUCCGUGACGCCCCACCA
rnacentral:tRNA from 2 species